GUCAUCGUGAGAUGGGGUGGGAAGGAAGCCGGAGGCAAAUCCCUGCACCGAGGGACACGAACCGCAUAGAAGGCAUGCCGGUCGGGGUGAGCCAGCAACAGAUGGUGAAGCCCGUCCCACCGAAACGGCCGGUGUGUAAAUGCGGCGGCGGCAGGGGGAAAGUGAAUGUU
rnacentral:ncRNA from 1 species